GCUCUCUUCGGCAGAACAUACAUUAAAAUUGGAACAAUACAAAAAAGAUUAGCAUAGCCCCCUGUGCAAGCAUGACACACAAAUUUGUGAAGCAUUCUAUAUUUUG